AGUUUCUUUUAAACAGUACCUUUUGGGGAAAAAAGGGUGACAUCACAGAUUAAAGGUGUACUCUACCUUCAUUCCUCCUGGAGUACAAAUUCAUGAGAGACCAUGAGAUCCAGACCAUGAGAAGGUGGAUUUUCCUAUUUUUCAAAGUUUUCAAGUACCAUUCUGAACAAUGCCAGUAAGAGAGGACAUUCAAAUGUAAAAUGAGCCCCAUUUUACAGAUCUGGUCACUAAAGACAACUGGCAAUGAAAUGGGUGUGCGAAAGAGGAGGAAACCAGAUAUUAUGUUACUUAAAAGUCAUUCAUCAUGUCACAGGAAGGCAGGAAUCUGAACUCCUGAAAUAAAUAAUCACUGAAGGUGAUCUCCCUGCA
rnacentral:lncRNA from 1 species